rnacentral:rRNA from 1 species
UACGUAGGUGGCAAGCGUUGUCCGGAUUUACUGGGCGUAAAGAGCGCGCAGGCGGUCGAAUAAGUCGAAUGUGAAAGCCCCCGGCUUAACUGGGGAGGGUCAUUCGAUACUGCUCGACUUGAAGGCAGGAGAGGGUAGUGGAAUUCCCGGUGUAGUGGUGAAAUGCGUAGAGAUCAGGAAGAACACCGGUGGCGAAAGCGCUCUGCUAGGCCGUAACUGACACUGAGGGACGAAAGCUAGGGGAGCGAAUGGG